GGAGAACAAAAAGGGAAAGGCAUUUGGGUAGCAUCAGAUGUUCUGUCCUGUUUUCCAACAAAAGAUACCAUUGAAUGCCUACUAAUGGUGAGGAUAGGGGCAAGGUAAUGUGUGAGCCAACAUGAAGCUGUGGGCAAACAGAGGACAGCAAUGGGGAAAGAUGAAUCAAGUGAGAGAAAAAUCCUGCCACACAAUAAAGGAAUGGAAAGGGAAGUGGAUAAGGCAAGGACAGAGAAAGUGGCCACACUUGGAGGACUGUGCUUUGCAAUUUACCCAAAUGUUGCUAACAGAACAAAGAGGCUCCCAGAGCAAAGACCCAAGUGACCUGGGUUCCCAUUCAAAAAAGAUUUCCAUUCUUAUUGUUCAAGUUAUUUACCUCAUAAGACAUUUGUUUUUAACUCUCUCACACACACUGACCCAUGUCUUCUCAAUCACCAUCUGCUUUCACCCAAACAUCCAGAGAAGAGUUGACUGUUUAUUUAUACUCUGCCUGUUUCCAAAAUGGAUUUAAGGCAGUGGAGCCAAGAGGUAAGUCAAAUUUCAAUGUUAAAAAUUCAUCACUCUAAGAUUUUUUCGUAUCUUUAGCUAGACAAUACCCUAUCAUUAGAAUGUUAUGUUAGGGCUUCCAACACUGUUUAUAUUCAGGUGCUUCUUUCUGCUUAUGUAAUAGAGAAAAGAGAUCUCUUGUCCUCAACUCUAUGCCAGUUGCUUUUAAAUAUUUCAAGGCAGGGUAUCAGGAACCAUAUUUUCAGAUGGAGAGUCAGCAUGCAUGUGAAGUUCAUGGUGAUAAUAACUACCAUUUCAAGUGUACCUGCCAUUUUAACAUAGAACCAUAUUGAGUUCUCACAACAAUCUUUUAAGGAAUUUAUUGCUAAAAUGUCUUCAUUUUAUUUUAUUUUAUUUUAUUUUAUUUUAUUUAGUUCACAUUCUAUAGAUGAGGAAACUGAGGACCAAAAAGGGAUUUAUUGACUUGCCUGAGGCACAUUGCUAAUAGGUAACAGGUUCCAAAGGCAGGCCUCGCUGAAUUCAAAGCCCUGUGUUUUGCUUGAGAGUGCUUUUCCUUUCUGAAAAUAGGGAGAUGUUGGCAAAGGUGUGAAGCAUCAGAGGUAGCUCUCAGUACCUGUGGCCCUAAUGCAGAAAUGGAUACUUGCACAGAGCAUUUCUUCUGAAACACACCUUUGCUAUUAAUCCACCCCAAGGGUUUUAAUUUAAGUGACUGUUCAACAGAAAGGUAAACACACUGUU
rnacentral:lncRNA from 10 species